rnacentral:rRNA from 1 species
UACGUAGGGGGCGAGCGUUGUCCGGAUUUACUGGGCGUAAAGAGCGCGUAGGCGGUUUGGCAAGUUGGCUGUGAAAGGCCUGGGCUUAACCUGGGUAUGUCGGCCGAGACUGCUGGACUAGAGGGCGGUAGAGGAAGGUGGAAUUCCGGGUGUAGUGGUGAAAUGCUUAGAGAUCCGGAGGAACACCAGUGGCGAAGGCGGCCUUCUGGGCCGAUCCUGACGCUGAGGCGCGAAAGCGUGGGUAGCGAACUGAAUUAGAUACUCAGGUAGUCCACGCCCUAAACGAUGGACGCUAGGUGUAGGGGGUAUCGACUCCUUCUGUGCCGAAGCUAACGCAUUAAGCGUCCCGCCUGGGGAGUACGGCCGCAAGGCUA